rnacentral:rRNA from 1 species
UUUAAAUAGCUGCAGUAUCUUAACUGUACAAAGGUAGCAUAAUAAUUAGUCUUUUAAUUGGGGUCUAGUAUGAAGGGUUUGACAAGAAAAAAUCUUUAUUAAUUUAAUUUAAUGAAUUUUAUCUUUUCGUUAAAAAGCUAAAAUUUUAAAAUGGGACGAUAAGACCCUAUAGAUCUUUAAAUUUUUGUUUAUAUAAGUAUUUAAGUUAUAUUUGAAUUUUAUUUAUAAAAAUUUUUUGUUGGGGUGACAAAUAAAUUUUUAAAACUUUAAUACUUAAAUCCAUUAAUUGAUGUAUUUUAUGAACCUAAAUUUGGGGUUGUUAGAAUAAGAUACCUUAGGGAUAACAGCGUAAUAAAUUUGUAUAGUUCAUAUAGAUAAAUUUGUUUACGACCUCGAUGUUGAAUUAAUCUUAAGUUUUGGGGCAGAAAAUAAAAUUUUAGGUCUGUUCGACCUUUAAAAGGUUACA